rfam:Felis catus isolate Cinnamon breed Abyssinian chromosome A2, whole genome shotgun sequence.
GCCUGGCUGGCUUAGUCGGUAGAGUAUGUGACUAUUGAUCUCAGGGUUGUGAGUUCAAGUCCCAUGUUGGGUG